AUUGCGAUUUAUGCAUUAUGACAGCGUUUAUGUCUGUGAAAGUGCAGAAGAAAUGGGUUGCAGGCACGCUGCUAGCAUGUCUUUUUGGUGUGAGGCUGUUUAGUUUUUUUCGUGGGUUUUGAUGAAACUCUGUGGUCGCAUUGUAACUCCGAUGUAACUCUAAGUCCGUUUCUAUAAUGCAAUGGGGUUUCCAGUAAAAUUCUAAUGUCAGGUGGAUGUGGAGAUGUAUAGCCUUCGGCCUAUAGCUUGGCUCACACAGGAGUAGCAGCAACAGAAUGUCCAAACAAUGCCUUGGGUACCAUACUCAAUGGACCUGAAUCCUAUUGAACACCUAUGGGAUGUUCCAGGCUGACACACAACCUCCAGGAUAUGGGCCAUUGACAAAUAAGGAUAUUGGCAAGAUGGACAAUUCAAAAAUUCAAAAACCUGUCUUAAGAGCAUGUAUCAGGUUUAAAUUAAACCAUUACAUUAAAUUAAAUGUGCCUUUCAUAUUCAUGUUGGUUUCAUGUCAUUUGAAAUGAUGUUUAUUAUACAAAUAAUUCAUUUUAAGAUAUCACAUCAAAUAGAUUAUAUUAGGAUUAUCUCUAAAUUUAAAUGUUAUGCAUUUUUGCGAUAUUACUUGUUCGAAAAUGCCUCGUUUUGUAAACAAUCUUUGACAAAUUAUGUAUAAUUGUUUAAAAAUCAUGUUAUUACACUGCAGAUGAGAAUUAUAUUUUAUUCCACAUUAAUUUUCACAUUUAUUAUCAUAUUUUUAUGAAAAAUACUGGUUACGCCAAUUGACACAAACCAGUUUCACCAGUUGCUUGUUGAAGAAACUGACACUGUCAAUGAAGGAUGACAGCCAACAAGGCCAACUGAACUUGUUAUAUUUUGUUUCAAUGUAUAAAAGAUGUCUAACAACAAGAA